AAAAAAAAAAAAAGGCUACUCUAUUCUAACCCUCCACCACAAUAAAUUAGUAGAAAAAUAAAUUUACAAAUAUCAAGCAACCACCCACCACCAUCAUAUCUUUUACGCCACAAUAUAAUCCCAUCGACUCUCCCGCCACCGACUUUUCUUCCACUUUUUGAUCGUUAAAUGGAUAAUUACACGCCUCGUAACUUGGAUCUGUGGCAGUCACCACUCCGGUGUGGUUAAAAUCACAGUUGAAGUCAUGCCGCCCAAAACUCUGAUAGUACGCAUUCAUUGCAUACGCUGCAUGUGACCGCACUGUAUUUGGGUCGAAGCAAGGCCCACCUGCUUGUAUGGGCCUGCAAUUUACUCCACUGCUGCAGACGUAGUCUAUAUUCUUCUGCAACGCCUCAUCACCGGCGUCCGACUUUGGCACGCACCACUCCUUGUCCGGACUUGAGGACGGUGCCUCCGCUGUUGUACCGGAGGCGGGACCCUCCGCCUGAGCAUUGCGUAGAACGCCGACGUCGUAAACCGGGGUCAGAUCCGGCUUGAACAACCCGAAAUUCUGUUCCGAAACACCUGGUUUCAGAUUCUCG
rnacentral:misc_RNA from 1 species